CCUGAACGCUGGCGGCGUGGCUAAGACAUGCAAGUCGAACGGGUGCAGCAAUGCACCAGUGGCGCACGGGUGAGUAAUGUAUCGCUAACGUGCCCCGGAGCCUGGGAUAGCUGUCCGAAAGGGCAGGUAAUACCGGAUGAGACCACGGAGAGGCAUCUCUCAGUGCUCAAAGCCGCAAGGCACUCUGGGAGCGGGCGAUAUCGUAUCAGCUAGUUGGCGGGGUAACGGCCCACCAAGGCUGCGACGCGUAGCUGGUCUGAGAGGACGGCCAGCCACAUCGGGACUGAGACACUGCCCGGACUCCUACGGGGGGCUGCAGUAACGAAUCUUCCGCAAUGCACGAAAGUGUGACGGAGCGACGCCGCGUGGAGG
rnacentral:rRNA from 1 species